UAACAAGGAUUCCCCUAGUAACUGCGAGUGAAGCGGGAAGAGCUCAAAUUUAAAAUCUGGCGGUCUUCUGGCCGUCCGAGUUGUAAUCUGGAGAAGUGUUUUCCGCGUCGGACCGUGUACAAGUCUCCUGGAACGGAGCGUCAUAGAGGGUGAGAAUCCCGUCCAUGACACGGACCACCGAUGCUUUGUGAUACGCUCUCGAAGAGUCGAGUUGUUUGGGAAUGCAGCUCAAAAUGGGUGGUAAAUUCCAUCUAAAGCUAAAUAUUGGCGAGAGACCGAUAGCGAACAAGUACCGUGAGGGAAAGAUGAAAGCACUUUGGAAAGAGAGUUAAACAGUACGUGAAAUUGUUGAAAGGGAAACGCUUGAAGUCAGUCGCGUCUCACGGAACUCAGCCUUACAUCGGUUUGGUGUACUUUCUGUGUGGACGGGUCAACGUCAAUUUUGGUCGGCGGAGAAAGGUUGAGGGAAUGUGGCGUUGUUUCGGCGACGUGUUAUAGCCCUCUUCCGCAUACGUCGGCUGGGAUUGAGGACCGCAGCGCGCCCUUAAUGGCCGGGGGUUCGCCCUACGUACCGCGCUUAGGAUGUUGGCAUAAUGGCUUUAAGCGACCCGUCUUGAAACACGGACCAAGGAGUCUAACAUGCUUGCGAGUGUUCGGGUGGAAAACCCUUGCGCGUAAUGAAAGUGAAAGUUGGGAGCCUCCGCAAGGGGGUGCACCGACGCCCGGCCCUGAAGUUCUCUGACGGUGCUGCGGUAGAGCACGUAUGUUGGGACCCGAAAGAUGGUGAACUAUGCCUGAAUAGGGCGAAGCCAGAGGAAACUCUGGUGGAGGCUCGUAGCGAUUCUGACGUGCAAAUCGAUCGUCAAAUUUGGG
rnacentral:rRNA from 1 species